rnacentral:rRNA from 1 species
GUGCAGCAGUCGAGAAUUUUUCUCAAUGGGCGAAAGCCUGAAGGAGCGACGCCGCGUGGAGGAUGAAGGCUUUCGGGUUGUAAACUCCUGUCAUUUGAGAACAAGUGUAGCCAAAUAACUACUGGCUACUUGAUAGUAUCAGAAGAGGAAGGGACGGCUAACUCUGUGCCAGCAGCCGCGGUAAUACAGAGGUCCCAAGCGUUGUUCGGAUUCAUUGGGCGUAAAGGGUGCGUAGGUGGCGCCGUCAGUGGGGUGUGAAAUUUCGGAGCUUAACUCCGAAACUGCAUUCCAUACUGCGGUGCUUGAGGACUGGAGAGGAGACUGGAAUUCAUGGUGUAGCAGUGAAAUGCGUAGAGAUCAUGAGGAAGACCAGUGGCGAAGGCGGGUCUCUGGACAGUUCCUGACACUGAGGCAUGAAGGCUAGGGGAGCGAACGGGAUUAGAUACCCG